CAGUCGCCACGGUAAUACGAAGGGGGCUAGCGUUGUUCGGAAUUACUGGGCGUAAAGGGCGCGUAGGCGGCCAUUCAAGUUAGAUGUGAAAGCCCUGGGCUCAACCUAGGAAUUGCAUUUGAUACUGUUUGGCUUGAGUUCGGGAGAGGUGAGUGGAAUUCCCAGUGUAGAGGUGAAAUUCGUAGAUAUUGGGAAGAACACCAGCGGCGAAGGCGGCUCACUGGACCGACACUGACGCUGAGGCGCGAAAGCGUGGGGAGCAGACAGGAUUAGAUACCCGCGUAGUCCCUGUCUCUUAUAC
rnacentral:rRNA from 1 species